GUUGUGUGUAACCUUCGGUUUAAAUUUAGAGAUGCUUCCCCAAUCGUGAUACUUCCCUUGUUUAUAAUUUCGCUCUUCAAAUACACACAUAGUUAGAAUGUCACGACCGACCGAUGAUUUUUCGGGUUUGAAACUGCAGAGACUGAAGAGAAGCAGGAGAGUUGUGUGUUUUUAUCUGUAACUGUUCCCCCUAUUAAUGAAGACAGAUGCAAAAUGUUGAGUCUGGAGUGGAUAAUUUAUUGUUUGAGGUGGACUGCAACAAUCAUGAAGAUAAAAAAGCCACCGAGCAACCAUUAGAUAGCUGUUUACAUGUAGAAUGUUCAGUUGAAAUUGUUGCCGACAAUUAUAAUGAUAUGAGUGCAAAAUAUGUGACAACAAAUAUAGGAAAAAAACUGGCUACAAACGAUAUUUAGUAAGCCAUAUAUAUGUUAUAUUAGUUUUAGCCUGUAAAACAUUUUUUUGCAUCAAAAUUUAAGGUUUGUUGUAGAUACCAAAAACAUAAUUACAAUUUUUGUUGUGUAUUGUUAUUGUCUUUAGAUUUUGUUGAAGUCUGUCAAGGCCAAUGUUACUGAAAUUAUAGAGAUUUACCAGAAGUUCAAUAAUGUUUGGAAAUAUGUAAUUGAUUACGUGCAUGUGGGUAGACCGAAUCAUUUAUCACUCUUAUGAAAAUAGUGAAGAUGUGCUGACAGUGGUAUACAGUGUAGUACUUAUUGGAAUCCUGUAAUUGUCGAGUUCCAUAAUUAUUUUCUUAAUACUGUUAGUAGACAGUGUUCAUAUCAAUUAAAAAUAAAUCAACAUGAAUAGAUGAUAUCCCUUAUCUUGUCAUGUUUACAAUGUACUGUACUACUUGUUACCAUUUCAGACAUCUUUUAUUGUUAAAUGACAUAAUUUUAAAAUUAAUGUUAUCAACUCUUAAAUAUUUUGAUAAAAGCGUAUUCAUUUCUCUAUUAUAUUUAAUUAAUAGUUGAAACAAAAAUUUGAUUUGAUUAACAAUAAGAGUUUCACUACGUGGAAAAAGUGUAUGAUUUGAGGUAAAAAUUAACAUUAUUGAAUUUGAUUUGUACAAAAUAUGUUGAAAUUUUGUAGUUAUGCGUUUAAAACUUGUCUAUUACUUGAAAAUAAACGUUCUGUGAGUGUUUGUAAAGUAAUGAACUAUUGGUAUAAUCCAUGCAAGCAUGAAUGAACUAAAAACAUUGUACUGAAUAAAAUUGUUUAUUACAGUGUCAAA